UUAUCCGGAAUUAUGGGUUUAAAGGGUGCGUAGCGGAAAUUUAAGUCAGUGGUGAAAGCCUGCAGCUUAACUGUAGAAUUGCCAUUGAUACUGGAUUUCUUGAAUCUAAUAGAAGUAGGCGGAAUAUGACAUGUAGCGGUGAAAUGCUUAGAUAUGUCAUAGAACACCGAUAGCGAAGGCAGCUUACUAUGUUAGUAUUGACGCUAAUGCACGAAAGCGUGGGGAGCGAACAGGAUUAGAUACCCUGGUAGUCCACGCCGUAAACGAUGAUUACUCGCUAUUGGCGAUACACUGUCAGUGGCUAAGCGAAAGUGAUAAGUAAUCCACCUGGGGAGUACGAUCGCAAGGUUGAAACUCAAAGGAAUCGACGGGGGCCCGCACAAGCGGUGGAGCAUGUGGUUUAAUUCGAUGAUACGCGAGGAACCUUACCAGGUCUUAAAUGCAUAACGAACGAUUGGGAAACCAAUCUUUCUUCGGACGGAAUGCAAGGUGCUGCAUGGUUGUCGUCAGCUCGUGCCGUGAGGUGUCAGGUUAAGUCCUAUAACGAGCGCAACCCCUAUUCUUAGUUGCCAGCGGUUCGGCCGGGGACUCUAAGAAAACUGCCAGUGCAAGCUGUGAGGAAGGUGGGGAUGACGUCAAAUCAUCACGGCCCUUACGACCUGGGCCACACACGUGCUACAAUGGUAGGUACAAAGGGCAGCCACUUGGCGACAAGGAGCUAAUCUCUAAAACCUAUCUCAGUUCGGAUUGGAGUCUGAAACUCGACUCUAUGAAGCUGGAAUCGCUAGUAAUCGCGCAUCAGCCAUGGCGCGGUGAAUACGUUCCCGGGCCUUGUACACACCGCCCGUCAAGCCAUGGAAGCUGGGAGUACCUGAAGUCGGUAACCAUAUAGGAGCUGCCUAGGGUAAAACUAGUAACUGGGGCUAGUCGUAACAAGGUAACCGU
rnacentral:rRNA from 1 species